GCCAGCUGCUAGCAGCUGUUCCUCCCCUUAUUCCCAUCGGCAGGGCCCAAGCUCAGGAGCUCUGGGCAGUAAGCACCCAGGCUCAGUGGUCCCUCCUGAAAGGGAUCAGAAGGGAGGGACAGUGUUGGCAUGAUACACUGGCAGCCCCGGCCCCAGGAGAUGAGUCAGCCAGGGUGGAGGAGUCAGGGAUAGCCAUGGGGCCUUUUGGGGGGAGACUGGCUAGCAGCGCUGCUCCCUACAGCUGCUCCUGGAACUUGGGCUGGGAGCCUCCCCCAACCCUCAGCCUUGCCUAGGCCUGAUCUCUUGGAGUGCCACAGUGGAACCAUCACAGAAGACCAGAGGAGACCCGAGGAGAAGUGACUGUAGCUCUUGACUUCUGAGUUCUUGGCUGCCACCCCAGCCCCUCCUCCCCCAGGCAAAAGCUCCUUCUUCUUGGACAUGCUGGUUAUUUCCUCAUGUUUCAGCCCCUUGCCGCGGCCGGUGCUCAGGAUGAAAUGAAGGUCUCUGGGGAUGGAGAGGUUCAGGCCAGGAUCCUCAGGCUGCCCACUUCUCAUUCCUCUCUUCUCCCCUGCCACAGAUGCCUCCCCUUGAGGAAACAAGCAUCAACUCAACUUGCAGCAGGAGAAACUGAGGUCCAGAGAGAGAGGAAGAGAUCUGGAGCAGAGCAAAGAAAGGAUUUCUGGGUACAGAGUGAAUCAGACUCACAGCUGGAACAAUCUCUAGAACAACCUACCUUAAUUUACAGAAGGGGAAAUUGAGGCUGAGAAGGGAAAGAAUUAAAGGUCAUCUCGGUACCACCUCACACCUAUCUGGCCAAUAUGGCAGCAAAGGAAAGUGAUAAAUGUUGGAGGGGAUGUGGCAAAAUUGGGACCCAAAUACACUGCUGUUGAAGUUGUGAAUUGGUCCAACCAUUCUGGAGGGCAAUUUGGAACUAUGCCCAAAGGAUGCUAAAAGACUGCCUGCCCUUUGGCCCAGCCAUAUCACUGUUGGAUUUGUACCACAAAGAGACAAUAAGGAAAAACUCCUACAAAAAUAUUCAUAGCUAUGCUCUUUAUGGUCACAAAAAUUUGGAAAAUGAGGGGAUGCCCUUUGAUUGGGGAAUGGCUGAACAAAUUGUGGUAUAUGUUGGUGAUGGAAUACUAUUGUGCUGAAAGGAAUAAUGAACUGGAGGAAUUCCAUGUGAACUGGAAUGACCUCCAGGAACUGAUGCAGAGUGAAAGGAGCAGAACCAGGAGAACAUUGUACACAGAGACUGAUACACCGUAGUACAAUUGAAUGUAAUAGACUUCUCUACUAGCAGCAAUGCAAUGACCCAGGACAAUCCAGAGGAACUUAUGAGAAAGAUGCUAUCCACAUCCAGAGAAAGAACUGUGGGAACAGAAACACAGAAGAAAAACAUAUGAUCUAUCACAUAGUUCAAUAUGGAUAUGAUUAGAGUUUUUAUGUUAAAAGACCACUCUACUGCAAAUAUGAAUAACAUGGAAAUAGAUUUUAAACAAUGAUACAUAUAUAAUCCAAUGGAACUGCUCAUCACCUUGGGGGGGGGGUUGAAAGGGGAGGAAUUAUGAAUCAUGUAACCAUGGAAAAUAUUGUAAAUAAAAAAUAAAUUAAAAGAAGAAGAAUCA
ensembl:lncRNA